UACGUAGGGGGCGAGCGUUGUCCGGAAUCAUUGGGCGUAAAGAGCGUGUAGGCGGCCCGGUAAGUCCGCUGUGAAAGUCCAGGGCUCAACCCUGGAAUGCCGGUGGAAACUGUCGGGCUGGAGUCCGGAAGAGGCGAGUGGAAUUCCUGGUGUAGCGGUGAAAUGCGCAGAUAUCAGGAGGAACACCAAUGGCGAAGGCAGCUCGCUGGGACGGUACUGACGCUGAGACGCGAAAGCGUGGGGAGCAAACAGG
rnacentral:rRNA from 1 species